GCAAUGUCUGUCUCCCGGUAACAGCGGUCUCCUAGCAAUGGGAUAUUUUUCCGGGCUCUGGCUGAAGAUCUGGUAGUUAUUUUUAGCUCAGCUGCAGAUCAAUAGGCAGCUGCAUUUUCAGCUACUGGAGAAGAUGCUGUUUGGGGAGGGGAGUGGAGACUGGAUUUCUCGUCAAAGGGGGAAAAACAUUUCAGGCGACAGAAACAUCUUGGAUGAGUGUCCUGGUGGAACAGAUCUGGCUGGCCCAUCGGCCUGCCUCACCCAGAUUGCUUCCCCCGGGCCUACUGCACUGAUACCUCAGAACAGGGAGGGGUGGAGGGGAUUUAAUUGGGUAUGAAAAAUACCGGAAACAGAAAUUAAGAGACUUGAGGAACAGCUGAGGAAAUACUAAGUAACUGUUCUCUCAGUGUAGCCGGGAGCUGGUUUGCUGAGUCAGUACAGGGUGGUUUUUUUCCCUUUACUCCACUCCCUUCCUCACUCAGGGGCCAGGUUCAUCCAGGCUGGCAGGAGGUCUUGGGGCAGACACAUGUUUGCUUACAGGGGGGGUCUUAGCCAUGCUACACUGCUCUUGGGGCAUUAUAAGUCUGAAGCCCACACUGAGCCCUCCAUCAAUAUUUAAGCAUGGUUCUAUAGGAUGAAGGCCAUAGGAAGCAAGACCAGUGUUUUUCUCCUCAGGGGAAUAGCCGUACUCCCCAACUCUUUCCUCCUUCCCUAACGGUCUAAGCUGCCUCAUCUUGCCUUUUCUUCUCCCCACCUAGCCAAAGAGAGAAGACAAAAAUAAUUCUUGAUUCUGAUUAUUCCAGGAUUUCUCUGUUCCUUCUCUCCCCAUCAGGAAAGGGUCUCUUUUGUCCAGGGCAUGUGAGAUGCAUGUGAGAUGAGAGGGGGAGGUCACUUCUAUAGAAUAAAGUCUAUUUGACCUUUUACCUGGACUUCUCUGGGACAAGACAAGGCCUCCUACCACUGGCUUUUGCCCUCACCCUGAAGUAUGUAGAGGGAUUUCAGAAAAAAAGAUGCUUCCUGAGGGAGAAAUUUGCACAGAAAUUUCUAUUACACAAGAAAUGACCAGCCAUGUUUCAGAUGAGAAGGCUGAGUCUCAGAGUGUGAAGUGAUUUAUCCUACAUCAUACAGACCAGAACCUGAGAUUUCUGAGUUUCAGCCCAUUGUCCUUUCCUCUGAUCCUGACUUUGCAUAUUUUGAUGCAUAGGUGUCCCUGAGCAAGUUAUCUCCGAGCCUUCCUUUCCUUAAAAAUGGCAGGAUGAUUUCAGAGAAGCCUGAAGAGACUUACAUGAACUGAUGCUAAGUGAAGGGAGUAGAACCAAGAGAUCAUUAUACACAGCAACAAGAUUAUACAAAGAUCAGUUCUGAUGGAAUGGCUCUCUUCAACAAUGAGAUGAUUCCAACCAGUUGCAAUGAUCAUGCGAUGAAGAGUCAUCUGUAUCCAGAGAGAAGACUGUGGGGAAUGAGUGUGGAUUAGCAUAGUAUUUCCACUCUUUCUGUUUUUUACUUGCAUUUUGUUUUCUUUCUCAUUUUUUUCCUUUUUGACCUAAU